ensembl:lncRNA
AAAAAAAAAAAUACUGUGGUUCUUGCAUUGGCCAGCAACCUGGGUUUGAAGGAGUCCUCAAGAUGUUUCUGAGCAAGCUGAAGUUUGAGGUCUAUUAGUCUAGCUCAAUCAGGUUCUGUCUCAAACAUCAUCUUCCCGGAGGCAUGGAGGUCUCAGCCAAAUCAGGCUUUAUUUGCAAGGGAGAAGGGAAGAAUAGUUUUUAUGUAGACAGCUGCAGAGAUCAGCUUACCAUUGGUGAGGACAUCAGAGAAAGAUAGACAUGCAAGAGUAUAAUGGGUGCCAGGGUUUUAAAGUCAUUCAACAAAGUUUACUGAGUGGGUGCUCUGUGCCAGGUAACUUAUUAGCACAGGGGAGCUCUUCUGGGUAUUUUUUAAUAUUUAAUUCAGCAUUUAUUCCUCUUUCUUUCAAUAGCAGUACCCAAAUUUUCCUCUGGAAACCUGCUCAGACUCAGUUCAAGUGUCAGGUGGAGCUGACUCUAACCUCAGCUCCACAAGUGGACAUGUGAUUCUUCCUGACCAAUCAGAGCACAACAAUGCCUUGGAAUGGUGAUUGGUCAGGGUGGGCGUGUGACUCAAGGCAAGGCUCCAAUCACUGUUAACCUUCAUGUUUUUAAUUAACAUGAUGAGAAGGAUAAUUUUCUAUUUGUGCUCCACGGCAGUGAGAAUAAACCCUAGAGCUUCUAAGGGGCCAAACGUGCCCUUUGAGAAUGAAGUCAAGGAGAACUGAGAGACUGAGAAGGUGAUCAGGUAUAGAUGAUGUUGUUUGCAACCCUGAACACGGCACUUCCUGAAGCAUGGUCUGUCUUCAGACUUUUCAAUUAUGUAGCUGAUGUAAGUAUGACCUGUUUUGCUUUAGCUGGUUUUCAUUUGGUUCUUGAUCGUUGCAAAUAAAAUAGUCCUAAUAUUCUAGUGUCAGAAGGCCCACAGCCCAGAGGAGACUGAGAUCUUGGGGAAAUGAGCUUUUAAAUUCAUACUCAGAGCAAGGAGGAUAAAGAAGAAAUUAACCUGCUGCUGGGCCCAAUAAGAUAAUGCAGCUGUGAGGAUGGAAAUGGACCUUGUCUUUGUAGCUCAGGAUGAUGUACUUUGGACUGAAAGGGAUAGCUGAGCGUUCUGGAGAGAGAAGAACCCACCUGACAAAUUUAAAUUAAUUUCAGAUCUCUGGCCAUUGGGCAAAAAGACAACUUGAGAGUGGGGGUUACUCGUCCUUGGCUAGAGAUGCGAAAGGAGUUGAGAAGUAAGGGAUACGAGAAGAUGUUGAGUGUCUUGAAACAGGCCCAUGAAUUUCCUGUACUUUGAGCCCAGGGCCAGACAGAGAGAAGAGCUUUGAUGAAGUUCGAGGGAGGAGUGAAGAUGGGCGAGGCUAUUUCAGUUUUCAAAAAUAACACGAGAGUAGCAUUUAAAGGCCCAGGCCGGAUGUUGUUUCUGCCCAGUCAUCUAGCAGUUGAAAGGGACAGUUUUCAUGAAAAGAUGGUUUGGGAACUAACGUUGAUUCCUAAUAGUAAGAGUGUCCAUUUAAAAAUGAAUCCCAUGAAGGAUUUUCUUUUUCUCCCUCUCCCAUCCCCAACUUCCUCCCUUCUGGACUUUUUGUGAGGGGGGUUGUAAUUAUUAGAUAGUUAGAUCAGGGAAAUGCAAUUGGGCACAUAUAUUUGGAUUUCCACAUGGUAUAUAAUAAAGUUUUUAUGAUAUCCUUUCGGUUAACAUGAAAAAACUCUAGCUAAAGUAAUAACCUAGUUAGGAAGGUAGACUUGUAACCACUUCAAGAACCAUGCCCAAGGCUUGCUGAUUAAUUCAUUCCUGUUCAGCUUGUCACUUCAGGAGCUCUCCCGGGCCUUGAGAUAAGGCUUUGUCCUUGGCUUUCUCCUGCUAAAACAAAUUUUGUGAAUGCUUGAAUGAAGGCAUAGAAAGGUCCUUAUCAAAUCUGUAGAUGCCACUGAACUGGGAGGGGAUGACAAAUGAGGUAGAUGGAAGAAUUCCAAUCCAAAAAGCUCUCAGUGGGUUAUGGGGAUGCAAUGAAAAUUACAAGGCAAAAAACAUAAUGGGGGAACAUAAGCUUCUGCAGUUGUACCCAAGAACCUCUCCUAUGUAAGUGGAGAGUGAGAGAGCUCUGUCUUGGAAGGAGCCUGAAUUAGAAAAGAGAGUAGUUUGGAUCCUCAGGCACUCAAUAGUCACCUGCAUUGUGCUCUAGCUCUCACUGGCAAGAAGCAAUUUGAGGUUGCAGUAACAGAAGUAGAGCAUGUAGAACAAAGGUGAUCAAAGUCUCAUAUUCAAGGCUCUCCUAGUCAGACCUCACCGGAGUCUUGUAUUCAGUUCUCAACACCAAGACUGAGGAGGAAAACUAUUUUGAACAAGCUCACACAUCAUCACGCAUACAACGAAAUAUGCCUGUUCAGCCUCUUUAAGGGGCUGCCAAGGGAAAGAGACUAGACACAAUGUCCGCCUCCCAAGGGUUAGGAUUAGCACCACAAAGCAGAGGCCAUCCAUAUGUUGGGUCCUUCCAUACAUUGAAUGAAAGAACAAUCCAGCUGCCCAAAGGUGAAAUUACAGUAUUGUAAGGGAGAGAGUUCCCCAGCACAAGAAGCAUCCCAACAUAUGAUGGACACUGGCUUAGAGGGGGUUUUUGGAAGUGCCUCGAGGGUUAGCUGAGCCACAGGAAAUGAUGACUCUACCAAGCCUCCUCCACCUCUGCAUAGCUGGAUCUCCAUGACCACAGGACCACCCAUGGCAGAAGGGGCAGCCCACAUGUGCAGCAAAGUGAAGGAGGAAGGAGAGUCAGAGUGUCCAUCCCUCUGGGGCCUCAGUGGUCACUGGUGACCUUUAAGAGAGCAGCAGGAUGCCCUUCUUUCUAUUUCAGGGGGUGCUUCUCCAGCUAUCUCUCAAGUUGCCACAAUGAUAAGGAAAAGAACUUUCAAAAUUAAACUCCAUUGAGAGCACACAUUAAUAACACGCCAAAGGACACAUAAAUUACACCUGUGAGUCACGUCCCACUGCCGAUGAAUACACUGAUUAAUGUCACAUUCCAACAAUAUCAAGAGCACACCAUAAUUAAGCCACCUCUGGUGGCCUGAAAACCUGUGUUAGAUCACUAUGGACACACAGAGCAAUCUAGAUGACUGAAGCCUGAAGAACCUCCCAGUUUGGAGUCGCAUCACUGUAGCGUGGUAUUAAAAGUGGGGAUUCUGGAGUCAGGCUGCCCUGUAUUUUAGUCCUGGUCUUACUACACACCAGCUAUGAAACCUUGAGCAAGUGACCUAGCCUCACUGAGCCUCAGUUUCCAAUCAGUAGAAUGGGAAAUUUAUGUGGGGAUUAAUUAAAGAAUGAAUGCAAAAUCCUUGGCCCAGACCACGCACCCAACACGUGGCUCUCAGAGACAUGAGUCCCUGUGUCUGGCCGAGGGACCUUCAUGUUAGAAAGCAUCCACUGGUUCCACCCAUUAGCCUCAUGCUUGUCACACACUUAGUUCAAGUGAGUGUUUCCAGUUAUUUUUAAAUUGCAAUUUGAUUGCUGCUUUGACAUCAUGAUUACAGCCCUCAUGGUCAACCAGGCCAAACUCUUCCACCCAAAGUGAGAGGAUCGUCAUCUGCUUGAUUCACGGCCUGAGGCUGAGAGAAAGACUAAUAAUCAAUGUCCCGCAUUCAACAGGUCAAUCACUGGAAUAUGUCUGGUUCAUGCUUUGGUGAGGUGGUCGUGGGAUGAAGGGAAAACACUGGCCUCGGUGUUGGCAAGAAUAUCAGAUCUUAGAGCUCCUCCGAAGAUGUAGUUUCAGACAGUUCUCUCCUCUUGACGUGUGGUGACAUCAUCUGAUUCCCGGACAGCCAUCUAGGCAGCAUUAGCAUGCGGUUGAGGAGAGUCGCAUUUGAUUAAAUAGCCUUCCAUCCAUUUCUCUGUGCAGAUAUGCAUGCAGAUAUCCUCACAAACUGUUCACUCGCUUUUCCCCCUUUCACGUACCCUUUUCUUU